ACUACUUUAAUAUGAUAGUUACAGUAGGCAUUAAGUAUAUUUAAAUAUGGGUUCUUAACGAGUUAUUUUUUCCCAGUUUAAAAUUUUAAAUAUAUAUGAAAAUAUAAUUUAGAUAAUUUAUUAAUUUUGGUUUAUUAGGUGCCAGCAACCGCGGUCAUACCUAAGAAAUAAGCUUACUAAUAUUAAUAAUUAAUAAUGUAAUUUAGAAAAUUGAGGAGUUGUGGUGAAAUAUACUUACUUAUAUAGUCCCUACAAAUUACACAUGCAUAAAUCCACUCUUAAAACUAGGAUUAGAGACCCUACUAUUGUGGAAUUAAAAUUUAAUUACUAAGGAGUAAUACUACACUAAAACUUAAAUGUUAUGGCGGCUGAGUAAAACAUUUAGGGGAACUUACCAUGUAAUUGAUAGCCACCAAGCAUAAAUCCACUUACUUUCAGAGUUUGUAUACCGUUGUCUUCAUGAAUCUCCCCUAGAGGUUUAUCAGCAUUUAAGUAAUGAAAAGACAAAUCAAGGUGCAGCAUAUAAGUAAGAAUUGAGGUGAGUUACAAUAUAGGUUAUAUUCAAAAUAAAUUUAUGAAAUAAUUUAAUAAGGUGGACUUAAAAGUAAUAUUUAAAUGAAACAUAUUAUAUGAAUUUGUAUUGCUUAGUGUA
rnacentral:rRNA from 1 species